UACGUAGGGGGCUAGCGUUGUCCGGAAUCAUUGGGCGUAAAGCGCGUGUAGGCGGCCAGGUAGGUCAGCUGUGAAAACUCGAGGCUCAACCUCGAGACGUCGGUUGAAACCACCUGGCUAGAGUCCGGAAGAGGAGAGUGGGAAUUCCUGGUGUAGCGGUGAAAUGCGCAGAGUAUCAGGAAGAACACCCGUGGCGAAGGCGGCGUCUCUGGGACGGUACUGACGCUGAGACGCGAAAGCGUGGGGAGCGAACAGG
rnacentral:rRNA from 1 species